UGGGAGCUGGGGUUCUGGCUGUCACACAGCAGAUGGAGUCAUAAUGCAGGCUGAGGCAGCAGAAAUGGACCUGUCAGAGUCCUGAUGAGCAGACUGUUCGCUCACACAGAGGAGGAGUGAGUCAGGAUGCUGUGGCUCAGAUCAAAUCUAGACCCUGCAUGUGCUGCUGUAUAUUGAGAUGUCAAUCAUGUUGUCUGCUGCAGCUCCAACAUUACCACAUCAUUUUCCUGCUGUCCCGCCCGUUUAUUACCUCAGGAUUUCAAAUGUCACCAACAGCUUCUUUUCUUAUGACUGCUCUGUCAAUCCUCAGCUUUUCUAAUCACAUUUAUACACCAUUGAUCCACCCAUGCACUGCAGCAGACACAAUGCACCCAGACUCUCCAAACAUUCGAUCUGUGGAGGCUUUGAUAAAUCAUUAUUGUGAAGCCGUCUUGUCAGACUGAGAGGACAGAGCUUCAGCAGGAAGAUGAAGGACACUCUUAGGAAUAAAUGUUCAAACUUCUCUUAUAAUGUUUAACUUUGAAAACUGAAGUGUGUCUCAGCUGCAGAGUGCUGCAGCCCCACUGAGUUGGAUUCCUCGGACUGGUUGGCCCUGUUUACAACCUCCAUCCUGACAUCAUGACGCUUCCUGUCUGUGAAAUGAUGCUUUGCUCCACUCUAAGCAGACCAGUUUAGUGCCACACACACUGUUUUCUUUAUUAGGUGCUCAUGUGCAACUGCUUGUCAAUGCAAAGGUACAAUCAGAUAAUCACAUGGGAGUAACUCAAUGCAUUCAGGUGCAUAGAUCUGGUCAAGUUCAAACCCAGCCUCAGAAUGCAGGUAAGGUGAUCUAGGUGACUUAUGUCACUUUCACAACAGAGCUGUUUGGUCCGCUUUAAACAGACCAGAGUUCGUUUCCUCGGAUAGUCUGCUUCGUUUGGGCAGGUGUGAAAGCUCAUCCGAGCUCUGGUACGGACCAAACAAGCGAACUCUGGUCUGCCUGAAAACGUGGGUCUCGGUUCGCUUGUAAGUGAACCCUUGUUUGGUUCGUAUGCAGUGUGAAAGCUCACCCGACCAAACACAGGACCAAAUGUACAUAAUGACGCUAUACGCAGUGCAUGUGCAGUGCAUAUUGGGUAGAGGAAGCACAGCGUCACUUGUUGCUAUGGCAACAAGUGACAGCAUAUUUAAACAAAAUCAAAUCACAACUACCAACAGUCACAGUCCUUAAACUCUGAGCUCAUAUGUUGUCACAUGUUAGAUUGUCAAAGUUAGAAAAAUAACAGGAUCAAUCCCUGACAAGCUAUGAUAGCAUUAUAGGAAAAGUUGCGUUCACUAAAGUUGUAGCAUUCCAUAAAAUAAUGUGAUGAAGUGCAAUACAAGACGGCUAGUCCACCCCUGUUUGUAAUCCGUUAGGCUACAUACCCCUCCUACUUUGUCCAAUCAACGAGCAACCCUUUCAACCACGUGAUGCUGCUUGGAAAGUUUGGUGCACUUUAGAAAUCACAGUGUGAAAGCAGAACCAAGUGAUAAAUGCAACAAUGUUGCAACUUUCAGGUUCCCAAUCGUACCGAGUCCGAUUGGUCAGGUGUGAAAGUGACCUUAGAGGCAGCCUGUUCUGGAUCUCAAAGCACUAACUGCAGUCCCUUCUGUCUCUGGAAGUAUUUACUGAUCCCCCAUGGUAAAGCCUAUACAGAGGAGAGAAGAGGGAAAUCAGAAAAGCUAAAAGAAAGAAAACAUGAGAGUAGCCUAAACAAUGAGGACCUUAAAACAGUCAGUGAUGGAUUCUUAUAAGUAUUAUUGAGAAAACCAAGACUUCCUUUCUAUCCACCUGGACAGAUCAUGGUAUGAGGUUAAUAAACUUAUUGGAGUGACGGAUGACAUGUCACCAAAACCCCUAGUUUGAAAAAAUAAACUCAUACCAACGUUCUCAGAUAACAUUUUUAAGACCUUGCAUGAUAAAGGGAUUAUGUUGUGGUGCACCUUGCACAUUUUAUUUUGGUUUGGGAUCCUGUUUCCUGUGUGGGAUGUGGUGCUUCUCACUUCGCCUUUUCCAGAGGCUGCUCUCUUCCCCCACCUGAGGCGCUGAGGCUGAGUAGACUCACCUGUAUUAAUUCUGCAAUCAAGCCAGUUUUAAGACUGCUGCAGUCACAAGCCCCAGUGCCAGAUUACUAUCAACUUCACACCAGUGGCGGCUGCUGGUCUUUCAAGGAGGGGAAGCUCAUUUUUCUGGCCUACAUCAUAAUUGUAUUUGUUUAUUAGUAUGUAACAGAACAGAGUCGCCAAACACAACGGCA